UGUCCGUUCCUCUGUUGUUCACUUCACUUCCUCCUUUGGAUUUCCCUUUUUUUUCCUCCUUAGGUUCAAUCUUUUCUUACUAGAACUUUAUCAUUCUUUGUUUUCUUUAUUUUCUUCUCACACACACACACACACACACACACACACACACAACCUAACCCCUCCAGGUCUCGCCGGUACUGGGGGCAGAUAUCCGGCUGUUACCCCCAGUCGGGGGACCACGGCUGUGGGAAGCGCCCCCCUGACCUCCGGGGCUCCCUGGUUCCGCGGUGCCUGUCGCCUGAGGCCCCCGGACGCCACCUGUACCCGGUGGUCUUCCUCCUGGUGUCCUCCCACCUGCUGGUCCUCUGGCUCAUCCUCAGCCUGGUGGUCCUGCUGGCCAGAGACCAGUAGGCCCGGGAGCGCCGGGAGCAUGGGUUUAUUUGUCCUCACGCAGAAACACGUACUUUUAUCAGAAAUCUUCUUCCAACCAUAUUUUCAGGACGGGUGCAGGAUGGACAACGUGCAGAAGAACGUGGGCAGCAGGAAGUUUGCCUUCAGCGGCGUUCAGCUGCUCACUUUCCCCAGACUGUACCGACCUCCAGACGGCAGCUUCGGAUAAAACACCCAUGGUUGUUUUUAUUCUGUGUACAGAUUUGUUGUUGUUUUUUCAUAAGAUUGAUUGUUUCAUACUGUGAGUCUCAUUGUUUUAAUGGUAACGUGUUUGACUAAUAAAGAAAUACUUUAUUUAUUUCCAACAAAUGUCUUAAACCAAAUUUUUGUCAGAAAUAAGCUGAUGGCAUGUGAUUAAAUAGACACUUAAAUAGGACAAAGAAAACAAACUAUAUUUAAAUAUAAUAUUCCUCAACAAUAUAACACUGUAUCAUUAGUACUUUCUCUUUACAUACAGUACAUUUUGCUGGUAAAACAAGGCGUUUUUUAAUCUAUAAUGGAGUAUAUAUUUUGGAAUGUGGUAUUUCUACUUCCACUGAGGUAAAUGAUCCAAAUAACUUGGAUUUGUAGUUUUAAGGUAACAGCUGUCUUCCGGGCCGCCAGGCGGCGCUGCGUCAAGUCAGGCGCAUUCACACAAGUAGUUAAAUGCUCUUCAAAAUAAAAGAGAACGGAUUUUAUUUAUCGAGUUCAACGCAUUAAUAGGAAUGAGGUACGACGGGCUUUUAUAAAGAAACGUUUUCUAAUUACAACGUGAGUCACAAAAGCGUUAAUUUAGCAAAACAAGCUCUUAGCGAGAAGAGAAUCGGCUUUUAUUUCUUUGUAAAGUCGCCGGAAGUCUGACGCCCCAUUAGCGCGAGCUUACCACCGGUCCGCUCAGGCCCAGUGAAAACAAAGCAGCGGUGGUCCUGAUGCGUUUGUAAACAUCCCUAAAAAAAGACAACCGGUAACUUUAUAACAAAGUCAAUCCCCCGCCGGGGGGGUCCGUCGUUAUCGCAUCGGCCUAACGGGUGGCUUUCGUCCCGGGGCCGUUGAUGCUCUCUGCUCCCGUUGGUGUUGUUGUGUUCUCGGUGACGGUUGAUAAUGGAGACGGCUAACGGGCACCCGAAGCUAACGCUAUGUAGCCUGCGAGCGGCGGAGGGCCGCGGCUGAAAUCACCGGAGAAAGGCGACAAAGGGCAGUGGGCGGUGAAAGCUAAAGACACGCAG
ensembl:lncRNA